rnacentral:tRNA from 3 species
GCGCGGCUGGUCGAGCAGGCCGGCGCGCCGUUCCGGAUCACGCUCGAUCAUUCGCAUCUGCUGUUCAAGAUCGGCAACCGCGCC